UCAGUAACUCGUAAUGUCAAAAUGAAGUCGUUCGAAAAAUAUAUGUUACUGGCAACCAAGACUAAACUGUUGUUUUCGAAUAACAGUUACCUUCACCGUGGCUACCGGUUUCGGUAAUAAAAACAAAUAAAUUUCGUAUAAAUUUGUAGAAUACAAUUUGUGAGAAAAAACACGGUUUUUUCUGUAUGUAAACCAAUAAAAUGAGAAGAUUGUGUAAAUAUCGAUCUGCUCAUGAUUGUUAUGACCGAUACUAGCCGGUAGGGAGGUGAUAUUUUCUACUAGAAACUAUACGAGGUGUAUGAUUCAACCGACGACACGACCUGCCACUCGCCUAUCGAAACUGUAUCGCAAAUUUAACUACCCCUCAGUAACUCAAAAUGUCAAAACUAAAUUGUACGAAAAAUUAUUCAAACUGGCAACAAAGGCAAAAGUUGUUGAUUUAGAAUAACAGUUACUUUAGUUACCACUGUUAUUUUGUUGGUAAAUAAAAAUAGUCUUAAAAGGAAUCAAAGCGUGACUGUGUUUACUAGAAAAAUGACUUCGUCAGAAAAGUUUCAGGAUGCCCGUUGCAAAGCCGAGCAACAAGUAUCUGCCAAGCUGAGCUGCAAGUUCCUAGUAUUAUUACAAGAAAUUGAGCUUUGUUUACGAUGUGGAACUAUUCGCCCUUAUUAUGAAUAACGACGUAUUGAUUUUUCGGGGGUAAGGUAGUAAAUUGUUCCAGAAAGCGAACUGGAAAUGCCAGCACCAAUUCAGCAGCAUUCAAGAACUGAUAAUGAUUUUAGGCAAAUGGCAUCGAGUCGGAUUCGGAUCUCGUCGGAGCGGUAGGAAAUUAUUCAUGUGAUCAAUGUUGUAUAAAAAAUAAAGCAUCCCUAAUGAAAUCAGUUCAACAUUUUA